AGAACUAAUAAGGUGGGCAAGGUGCCUCCUCCCAGUGGGAGGUUCCUAAAGUCAUCUGAAGUCCAGAGGCACAAAGGCUCGGCAGGUUAGAGAUGCCACCAAGACCUGAGUUUGAUCCAAAGGCCCACGUGGUAAAAGGGGAAACUCCUGCAGAAGAGCCCUAGAGUAGCGCCCAGAUGUCUCCACUUAUGCCCUAAAUCUGGAUUCCAGAAAAAUCCUAGCAGACUUAUCAUCUGUGACGGACCCACCCCUCCCAGUGGGAGCACUGCCCCCGUGAUGGAAACGGAAGCUGUUUUCCCUCCUGCGCGGCAGCAGUCAUCUCCUAGGAGCCCGACAGAUGUCAGAGCAGCAGGGUGAGCCCUGGAACCACACUCAGAGCAGGAGCAGAGGUGAUGUUCAACUGCCAGGCUAACUAUCACAGCCCUUCCUCUCCCGCAUCUUCCUCUGUGUAAGCCUGCAUCUCAGGGCAGCAUCCUGUAGAGGGACGGUGGGUGGGGUGGCGCUUGCUCUCCUGUGUCCUGCAAGCCUGCAUUGAGUCUUUCCAGCAGGACUCUUGCACCAGUUUGCUCUCUCAGGCAGGUGGAGGGGUCCUGGUUUGUAGGGAGUCGGGACUCUGGCCUAGGACUCUGUUAAGAAGAUUUAGCACGGGAAGGUCUCAAGCAAGAGCAUGCUGAAGAAGGAUGGAAGGACAAGGGAAAUUCUGGGGAACAUGGUAAAGAGAGCCCCUUGCUUUGGAGACUGGCUGAGGCCUCUCCACCUGAGAGAGAAGACAUCCCACCUCCUUGCAUCUCUGUGACCUUACCGAGCAUAAUCCCAUCGGGUGCCCUCAGGAGCCAUCCUAUGAUCUCAUUUGGGUUUCUAAGCAACCCUUUGAAGAUAAUAGUCUCAAAUCUCACCAAAGUCCUACCUAUGACUAUAAAAGACUAUGAAUAAGUCUCUCAGAGAAUCCCACAGCUGUGCUCUCUGGUGUGUAUGUCUAAGCAACCCUCCCCCCUUUAACCCUCAUGAUUAAAAUCUAUA